rnacentral:misc_RNA from 1 species
AAAAAAUCAGUUAUUCUUAAAAGGAUGAAUAUUACAUAAUUGUGAAUGAAAUAGCAUGAAAAAUAACACCCAAUAAUUUUUCCAAAAAGGCAUCACUUCAAUUACAUCCAAAAGGGGUAUACGCCUGAUUAAAAUACGUGAAAGAACACUGAAAUCCAUACUAAAUUAAAUCACUAGAACAUAUGAUAUAUCAAUUGUUCCUUAUCAAAAUGAUUUAGGAAACGGCUUUACUAAUAUGAUUUGAGCUCUUUAACAAUUGUAUACUUCUUGCAGGUUACGCAACUCCAAAAAAAUAAAAAGGCUUUAACAGAGAUGAGAGGACACCAUUCACCCAGUUGCCGAAAACCAACCGCACAUCAAGCAACUGAUUGGACUGCUCUUUCAAAGUUCUCUUCAGCAGAUGACGCACGUUUAACAAGUAUGUGAUCUGGAUGUGUAAGUGUCAAUUGACUGAGAUAUCGUGAAGAGGGUUUACCAAGGUGAAGACUGCAUACUACCAAAUUGGCUAAAGUCUCUGGAUCCUUUGCAUCCUUGUUUAGCGCUUCAAGCAACAAUGUCUCAGCUUCAUCAAAGUUUCCCAUGUGCAUGCAACAAACUGCCUUCCCAUUCAAGAUCAAGCUCGUCAUUGGAUACUUCUCAGAGAAAUCUUGAAAGAUGAGAUAUGCUUCCUGUAUCUUUGAACCACCAACUGCCAGAUUCAACCAUGCAUUUGCAAGUUGAGUUAGUGUGUGGUCCUCAUCAAUCUGCUGCAUGUACCUCAGCUGUUUCUCUGCAUAAUCUGACCUGUGCAUCUUAAGGAAUAUUUGGAUAUUCAAUGCAUGCCUGAAGAAGCAGAAACAAAACAAGGUGAUCGGAAAAUAAAGAAAUAGUUAAUUUUCUCCGCACAGAAUUUCUCCAUACAAUGGAUUAAAGCAUAACGCCACAGAAAUAAAAGGUCCUAAAUCGUUUGUCAUUUAGCCCAUAUCUGAUGUUCAUACAUAAGUACCUUUAUAAUUUUGGAACAGAAGCCAAAUAGUCUUGACAAACUCUAUGAGACUAUGACAAACCCUGAGAAUACGCAUUAUUUAAAGGGAAAACCAUGCUCCCAUUCAAAUUCCAAAUUAUCUAUUAUUGCAAAAAUUUGAUCAAACCUUGAUAUCUGGCAAUGUAUCCUCUUCCAGAUUACGGCAUGGACCUUUCAAUUUUCAUGUCCUGGCUCAAAAUCUUUUUAGAAAAGUUUAUCUAUUCCUGAAACAUGGCCAGAACCCAACCAAAAAUUUAGUUUGAGAAAAGACGUUCCUAAAUUUUGAAUUUUGUGUCAUCUCACUGAGGUAUGCUUUACAUAAGUCAUAGACAUCUAACUCUAAGUUAUAUCUAAAAUCUUUAUUUUUUCAAUCAGACACAUUGAUCUUCUAGAAUUAGAUAACUUGCCUGUUGCCACGCAAAAAUUCUAGUUACUUUGAUCCUUCAAUAAGUAUUAUAAUGAGUAAGAAAUUUACGGCAUGAUAAGUUGAAGAGUAAUAUAUGAGCCAAGAAUUCCUUGUUGACAUCAUAGUUAUGGCCAUUGCUUGAUUCAUGAUUCAGAUCCCAAAUAGGGAUGGCAAUAGAUAGCGUACCCACGAAAAUUACCCUACCCGAACCCGAUUAAUAUUUUCAAAAUCCGAACUCCUCCCAAACACAAUUAAAAUUUAUUCUCAACUACCCAAAUCCAUCCCAAGCCUGAUUAUUAUUACCCAAAAAAUACCCGAACUUAGUUAAUUUUAUAUUUUUUAAUUACAAAUCUAUAUAAAAAAUUAUUUUUAUUAAUAAUUUAUAUCCUAAAAAUUUAAUAAUUCUGUAAAAUAUUUCAGUUCUAUUUUA